rnacentral:tRNA from 1 species
GAGGGAAUAGCUCAGUGGUAGAGUGAGUGCUUAGCAUGUACAGGGUCCUGGGUUCAAUCCCUAGUAUCUCCA